ensembl:rRNA 5S_rRNA 5S ribosomal RNA
GUCUAUGGCCAUACUACCCUGAACUGAAUGCGCCCAGUCUCAUCUGAUCCUGGAAGGUAAGCGAGGUCGGGCCUGGCUAGUACUUGGAUGGGAGAUAUAUACCCAGCAAUGGGAUUGCUGGGUCACAUGGUAG